CACCGCCUCCUUCCUCCUCCUCUCUCUAUCUCUCUCGCGACGUUUCCAUCACCAAACUUUCUAGGGUUUCUUCUGGUCGUCUUCGCUUCUCGAUCGGCCCCCCCAAAACCUCGCCUCCCGAUCCCUUCCACGAAACCCCGGCGAGAUGGUCCUCUCGCAGAAGCUCCACGAGGCUUUCAAGGGCACGGUGGAGCGGAUCACCAGCCACCGCACCGUCUCCGCCUUCAAGGAGAAGGGCGUCCUCAGCGUCUCCGAGUUCAUCGUCGCCGGCGACAACCUCGUCUCCAAGUGCCCCACUUGGUCCUGGGAAUCGGGCGAGCCGAGCAAGAAGAAGCCGUAUCUGCCAGCAGAGAAGCAGUUCCUGAUAACUAGAAAUGUUCCGUGUUUGCGGAGAGCUGCUUCCGUGGAGGAAGAAUAUGAGGCUGCAGGAGGGGAAGUUUUGCUUGAUAACGAAGAUAAUGACGGUUGGCUAGCCACUCAUGGAAAGCCGAGAGAAACUAAGGGGGACGAGGAGGAUAAUUUGCCUUCUAUGGACAGCUUAGAGAUCGGCAAGAAAAAUCCUAUUCAGUCCAUCCCUUCGUAUUUUGGGGGAGAGGAGGAAGAAGACAUUCCGGACAUGGCAGAGUACGAGGAACCCGACAACCUCAUCGAGACGGAUCCUGCAACACUUCAGUCUACUUAUCUGGUGGCUCAUGAACCUGAUGACGACAACAUACUGCGGACCCGAACUUACGAUGUCAGCAUAACGUAUGAUAAGUAUUAUCAAACUCCUCGGGUUUGGCUUACUGGAUAUGAUGAGUCAAGGAUGCUUUUGCGACCAGAGCUUGUACUUGAAGAUGUUAGUCAAGACCAUGCACGAAAAACGGUAACAAUUGAAGACCAUCCUCAUUUGCCUGGAAAACAUGCUUCAGUACAUCCGUGUAGACAUGGCGCAGUAAUGAAGAAGAUCAUUGACGUAUUAAUGUCACGUGGAGUUGAACCCGAAGUUGACAAGUACCUUUUCUUGUUCCUUAAAUUUGUUGCCUCUGUUAUUCCAACUAUUGAAUAUGAUUACACAAUGGACUUCGACCUUGGCAGUUCCAGCCGCUGAUCUGAGGUAGAUCACAUGGUUAAUAUUGCAAUCAUGGAAUCUGCCUAGAGAUGGUUUUUGAGGAUCCAAUCUGCAAAAUCCACACGAAGAGCAGGAGCUUCCUGUUCAUAGUAAUCCUUCCCCCCCGGGGAAUUUGUGAAUUUCCGUGGGAUUACAGAAAGAAAAACAAACCGUACAUGUCAAUAGGGGUCUCUGUUGAUCGGUCUAGUAUGAUUUAUCUGGACAGCUAAGCAUUAAUUUGGUGUCAUGAACGCGUUUGUUAGCAAAUGCUGAUUUGUGGAUAUGUAUAUUUUACUUAAUGAAAAUAUUUAAAUGUUACUCUGGGCA